AUCUUUUAAAUCUCAACAAAGGACAUGGCCAUAAUUAGGCAUUCUUGGCCAUAAUCGUGGGAUCAAAAAUCACACAGAGUCAUAAUAACUGGAACACAAGGCAACUUGGCUUGCUCAGAUUUCUCCAUAGUGGGGUAUUUGCUAAACCAAGAAGAUGUGAUGAUAAAUGAUACCGAAUCAGAGAAAUUGUUUUUCACAGCAUAAAUUUGUAUACAGCAAAUAGAAUCUCCAAUACAAAAUCUCAAGUAAAGCACACCUAAGACAGAUGAUGCC